UCCCUAGUGGCUCAGAUGGUAAAGAAUCUGCCUGCAGUGCAGGAGACCUGGGUUCGAUCCCUGGGUUGGGAA
rfam:TPA: Bos taurus chromosome 4, whole genome shotgun sequence.